rnacentral:rRNA from 1 species
CCUGCCCAAGAGAUCGGGAUAACACCUGGAAACAGAUGCUAAUACCGGAUAACAACAGAUGAUGCCUAUCAACUGUUUAAAAGAUGGUUCUGCUAUCACUCUUGGAUGGACCUGCGGUGCAUUAGCUAGUUGGUAGGGUAACGGCCUACCAAGGCGAUGAUGCAUAGCCGAGUUGACGAGACUGAUCGGCCUACAUUUGGGACUGAGACGACGGCCCAAACUCCUACGGGAGGCAGCAGCC